rnacentral:rRNA from 1 species
UACGUAGGUGACAAGCGUUAUCCGGAAUUACUGGGCGUAAAGCGCACGCAGGCGGCGCGGUAAGUCUGAUGUGAAAUCUCCCGGCUUAACUGGGAGGGGGCAUUGGAAACUGCCGAGCUUGAGGCGAUGAGAGGGGUGUAGAAUUCCCGGUGUAGUGGUGGAAUGCGUAGAUAUCGGGAGGAAUACCAGUGGCGAAAGCGGCACCCUGGCAUUAGCCUGACGCUCAUGUGCGAAGGCGUGGGGAGCGAACGGG